AUGUUGUUCUUUACCUCUCCAGGUUCUGGGCUUGGGGCUCUCAUCUCUCAGCAACCAAGCAGAGCUAUCUGGAAGAAAGGAUCAUCUGCACUGGUCCACUGUCAUCAAAUUGAUAGCCAAUUAACCUUCAUGUACUGGUACUGUCAGCUUCCCCAACAGAGCUUGGUACUGAUUGGCACUGCGAAUGAGGGCACCUCAGGCACCAAUGAGAAGGGUUUUGAUGAGUCCAAGUUCCCCAUCAGUCGUCCAGUUAAAAAAUUCUCUACUCUGGAAGUAAUUGAUUUGAGUCCUAAAGACAGUGGCAUUUAUUUCUGCAGUGCCAGUGACACAGAAUGUGACUUGAAUCAGAGACUAGAACAAGAACCAUUCCUCUUUCUGUUCCCACAGGUGGCUUAUCUGGGGGCCUUGAAGAAGGAGGCAAACUACAGUUUUGGGUGA